CCUACGGGCGGCUGCAGUAGGGAAUAUUGGACAAUGGGCGCAAGCCUGAUCCAGCCAUGCCGCGUGUGUGAAGAAGGCCUUAUGGUUGUAAAGCACUUUAAGCGAGGAGGAGGCUACUUUAGUUAAUACCUAGAGAUAGUGGACGUUACUCGCAGAAUAAGCACCGGCUAACUCUGUGCCAGCAGCCGCGGUAAUACAGAGGGUGCAAGCGUUAAUCGGAUUUACUGGGCGUAAAGCGCGCGUAGGCGGCUAAUUAAGUCAAAUGUGAAAUCCCCGAGCUUAACUUGGGAAUUGCAUUCGAUACUGGUUAGCUAGAGUGUGGGAGAGGAUGGUAGAAUUCCAGGUGUAGCGGUGAAAUGCGUAGAGAUCUGGAGGAAUACCGAUGGCGAAGGCAGCCAUCUGGCCUAACACUGACGCUGAGGUGCGAAAGCAUGGGGAGCAAACAGGAUUAGAUACCCGGGUAGUC
rnacentral:rRNA from 1 species